UACGAAGGUGGCAAGCGUUACUCGGAAUUACUAGGCGUAAAGGGCAGGUAGGUGGUCUGAUAAGUUUGUUGUGUAAGCUCCCGGCUUAACUGGGAGAGGUCAACAGAUACUAUUAGGCUUGAGUAUAGGAGAGGGUACUGGAAUUCCCGGUGUAGCGGUGAAAUGCGCAGAGAUCGGGAGGAACACCAAUGGCGAAAGCAGGUACCUGGACUAUUACUGACACUAAGCUGCGAAAGCUAGGGGAGCAAACAGG
rnacentral:rRNA from 1 species